AACUAAACGAAACGUCGACACAUCACAACUUAAGUGCGACAGCUGAUUGCAAAAGUACUUUCUUUUUACUUACAAAACUUAUUAAGCAAAAAUAACCAAACUAAUUCUUAAUUUGACAGUCUUGACAGCUGAUGGUAGCGACACCUUUGGUGGAUCUUUUACAUUACAUAUCAGGUGCAAAGGAAAUCAAUGUUCUAUUAUUAAACAAUAAAUUAUUGAUAAAAACAAUCGUUUACAAUGGUUAGAGGACUGGUUAGUUUUUUAGUUGGUUUAUAUGCUGGAAUCUACGUUAGCCAGAAUUACGAUGUUCCUAGAGUUGAUGAUCCAUCUGCUCUUAUA